rnacentral:lncRNA from 1 species
CUCAAGGCAACCAUAGAGACUUUUCCCAACAUGCGUCAUAGAAUCCAAAAUCUCCCUUCUCCACAUUUACCUACUUGUCCACAGAAGAGCUGGCCAUAAAGAAGUUCUCGGAUCUACAGCAUCCAAGUAGAUCACAAGACAUCACCACUCCCAAUUCCAGAAAGGGUUCUGCCCAUAUCUAGAAGAAAGGAAUGCUGCACAGAGACACCAAGAGAAUUUGAACAGACAGGCCCUGCUGGCACCCCCUGCCCCAGGCAAAUGGAUGGAACUAGAAGAAAUCAUCCUGAGUGAGGUAACCCAGCCACAAAAAGACAAGCAUGCCCUCAUCCAGUGGCUGAUGGAAGCAGGGGCAGACAUCCACAGAUACACACUGAACUGAACUCUGGAAGUUAGUUGCAGAGAGGGAGGAAUGAAGAUUGAAGGGGUCGGUACCAGGCUGGUGAAACCCACAGGAACAGUUGGCCUGAACAAGGGGGGACACAGCGCCCCCAGAUGCUGGGAGGCCAGUACAGGACUGAUCCAGACCCCUGAGCAUGGAUGUCAAUGAGGAGGCCUCUGCACUCCAGGGGGCCCUGGUAGUGGAUUAGCAAUUUCCCCUGGUGUUAGAAGGGACUGUGAGAGCCCAACCCACGUGAAGGGACACACUCUUGGCCUGGAC